rnacentral:misc_RNA from 1 species
GAUGAAGAACGUAGCGAAAUGCGAUAAGUAGUGUGAAUUGCAGAAUUCAGUGAAUCAUCGAAUCUUUGAACGCACAUUGCGCCCCUUGGUAUUCCAUGGGGCAUGCCUGUUCGAGCGUCAUUUGUACCUUCAAGCUCUGCUUGGUGUUGGGUGUUUGUCUCGCCUCUGCGUGUAGACUCGCCUCAAAACGAUUGGCAGCCGGCGUAUUGAUUUCGGAGCGCAGUACAUCUCGCGCUUUGCACUCAUAACGACGACGUCCAAAAGUACAUUUUUACACUCUUGACCUCGGAUCAGGUAGGGAUACCCGCUGAACUUAAGCAUAUCAAUAAGCGGAGGA